UUGUAUUUAUGGAGGGAGAGGUGUAUGCUGGGUAAUGGCACAGCUAGCGACCGGGUGACCCGCUUCGGAUGUUCAGUCCAUCAGGCGUUAUUAGCAGAAAUCAGUCCCAUAGAUGUGGGCCAUCUCCACCUGCUAGAUUGUUCAGAAGGUUGUUAUCAUCCAUCCAGAUGGAGGAUCACUAACAGGAGCGUGGAAGACUCCAGGAUCCACUCUGGCUGGAAUCCGGUGGAUACAGCAGUGUUACAGAACAGUUCUCCACAGUCACUGUCCACAUGGGUCAGUGGGACCAAGAAGCACUCUGCUAAUGUGGGACUCUGACCAGCAACAUCCAGCAACAUCCAGCAAGACCCAGGCAGCGUUUUCUAUCUCCCAGCUGGAGUUUUUUGUUUGUGACUGGAGAGUCAGAUUUUUGUUGACGCUGGAGGAACAGCCUCACACUUGCAGAGGUUAAUACAUGCUACUGAUCCCUGAUGGGAGAAUCUUCACCUCUGACAGCAAAGAAGCCUGGUGGAUAUUUGUUUGCAGUCUGAUGAUGGGACAUCAUGCUCUGCAUCUUCAAAUCUUUUUGCAGGAUCAGAAAACAAAACCAGGAGGUCCGUAAAUGUUUCUUCUCCAAUUGGAUGAUGAUAAGACUGUGACACGGGAUGCCACCUUUAGUCUUGUGAUGAAGCAAAGCUCAGGAAGAAGUGUGAUUAAAUGGUACCCACAUGUGUGCUGCUGAGAAGGAUGGACAGGGGCACCUGCAGCCAAAUCCAAGCCUCCUCAGCAACUUCAGGUCUGUCAGCGUGCUGAGGUCACAGAAACAAGAAAAGCAGCUUCAGACUUCAGAGUGUUGUUUACAGUUUUCUGUCAUCAUGAUCUCCCCUGAAGUUUAUCACUAUUAUACAAGCAAGCAGAGCGGCAGUUUGUGCUCACAGAUGGUGACGGUGUGGAGAGACGGUGGUGUUUCCUCAGAAGAACUAGCAGAGUCACAAAGGGCACGAGUCCAUCUCACCACCUUGACUUGCUGACUGAUGCUCGUCUGCACUGCACAGAGGAAAUCAACUGACCGAGGAGUGUUUCUGAGUGAGGGAGAGAGGAGUCAUCAUCCAGGUAAAGUGACGUGGAUCAGUGGACACACUUGUCUCCGCUUUAAAGGAGCCACUCUUAGAGAGAGACGAUCCGAGUCAUCCUUAAAUAUGGGCAGGAUAUCAGUCUUGGACUGUCUAACCUGCCGGAGCAGCACUGAAUAACCACCACACAUGAGCAUGUUCCUGCAACAUUCAGCAUCUGAUCUGCCAUCUGUGUG